rnacentral:lncRNA from 12 species
UGCUCCCGCUCCAGAUGUCCCGUGUCAGCUCUGCAGAGCUCCGGGAAGGAUUUCUCCUGGUGGCUGCUGUGUCAAAGCUUUCUCAGCUGUUGCACCCAAACCCCUCCAUCCUCCCACAGCCCUGCCAGCGCUCCUUCCCAGCCUGGCUGUGGGCUGGGCCCUUGGUGGUCCCUCACGGAGAUUCUGGCGGCGUGCCCUGCGAAGUUUUGCUCGUGUCAGUGUUUCCCUCCAGCCCCUGGGCACCAGGAGCCCUUUCCCACAGCGCUGUUUGCUGAAGCACAAUGUGCAGGGUGAUGCCAGGCUCCCUGCAGAAUCACUGAGUCGGCCGUUUGGGAAAUGAGAAAUCCCAGAAUCCUGGGAUGGUUUGGGUUGGAAGGGACCUCAGGGAACAUUUCGUUCCACCCCCUGCCAUGGCAGGGACACCUCCCACCAUCCCAGGUUGCUCCAAGUCUGGAACACUUCAGGGACAUAGGAAAACCUUUCUGUGGCAGAAUAAAGGGGGUGAAUUCUGUACCCCCCGGCUGUGUUGGCUCCGGGAGAAAACUUCCCAGGGAUUUUUUCUGCAAGUGCCCCCAGCCCAGCUCUGCCCCCAUCCUGCUGCUGCAGCCUGACGAGACCCGACACGAACUUAACGAAGCCCACGGCGUGGGGAGAAAGGCAAAAAACCCCUUUUUGCAUCAGGUGGAGGGGCGGCAGAUGGCCGGACCGCAGCUGAACAGGGUUUCCCGGCUGGGCGCAGUUUUCCCGUGCGUCCCUUUUCCCGGAGGAGCAGCAGGAACGCCUUGGAACGCCUUGGGAUGCCUUGGGACACCUUGGGACACCUUGGGACGCCGGUCCCGAGCUGGGGAAGUGCCGUGGCUGCCGGCUCGGGAUGGAGCCGCAGUUGUCCCUCCGUCAGCUCCCAGCUGGCAGCUGCUGCUAAACCUCCCUUUCAUCGCCGGCCAAAAGAGGCCGGGGUGUUUUGCUCCCCCCCCACCCCCGCCCUUUAAUCCUGACUUUCAUCAUUCUCCAGGCUGGGCCUGCCCUCCCCUCCGUGGGAUGGGCAGGGUCGGGGGGCAGGAGCUGUGUCUGGGCUCGGCCCUUCCCCCCAGACCCUCACCCCAAACCUUCUCUGGGCUGCCCGUGGUCGGAGGCAGCAGGAGAGCAAUGGGUUAACCCGCAGGGAUGUGGGGAUGCCCACGAUGGGAGCUGCUGCUGGGCUGGGGAGGAUGUCUGGGCCGGCUGCAGAGGUGCUUCCUGCACGUAAGAGAAUCGGCUUGUUUAAUUUCAGGAUUUUGGGAACGAGACCAAACAUCAAACAGCGUCAGUGCGAGGUGACAAAGCCCCAUCCCUGCCGGGGCGGGGGCUGCCCCGGGGUGGUCCCAGCAGAGCCAGGGGCUUCUGCUCCCUUUCCCCUUGGCUGUCCCUCGUUUGGGUGACCCUCUUCUGCUCCCCUGUUACCCUGCCUUGCCCUGUCCCACGCGGGACCCCGCUGGCCCCUUGACCAUCGCGCUGCUAUGGAAAAUUCUGCUGUGUCCUGUGCUGGGACACUCCAUCUGUGCCCUGGGCACCCCAUCCAUCCCCUGGGCACCCCAUCCCUGUGCCCUGGGCACCCCAUCCAUCCAUCCAUCCAUCCCUCCAUCCAUCCAUCCAUCCCCCCCCCCCCCCCCCCCCCCCCCCCCCCCCCCCCCCCCCCCCCCCCCCCCCCCCCCCCCCCCCCCCCCCCCCCCC